GAUGGAACAAUGUAGGCAAGGGAAGUUGGAAAAAUGGAUUCGUAACUUCAGGAAAAGGAUUGGCUCUAAGGGCUGGGUAUGGAGGUCCUUGUCCCGUACCCGUCAGUUGUCAGUGGACUGCUUGAGUUGUUCCCACAGCGAGAGCGGGUCGCCGCAUGCCGGCCGGGGGAUGGACUGGGAAUGGUUCCUUUAGGGGCCUCCCCGGGUGUUGAACAACCAACUCAGAACUGGUACAGACAAGGGGAAUCUGACUGUUUAAUUAAAACAAAGCAUUGCGAUGGUCCCUGCAGAUGUUUACGCAAUGUGAUUUCUGCCCAGUGCGCUGAAUGUCAAAGUAAAGAAAUUCAACCAAGCGCGGGUAAAUGGUGGGAGUAACUAUGAAUCUCUUAAGGUAGCCAAAUGCAUCAUCAUCUAAUUAGUGACGCGCAUGAAUGUAUUAACGAGAUUCCCACUGUCCUUGUCUACUAUCCAGCGAAACCACAUCCAAGGGAACGGGCUUGGCAGAAUCAACGGGGAAAGAAGACCCUAUUGAGCUUGACUCUAGUCCGACUUUGUGAAAUGACUUGAGAGGUGUAGUAUAAGUGGGAGCCAAAAAAGGAAAGUGAAAUACCACUACUUUUAAUGUUAUUUUACAUAUUCCGUGAAUCGAAAGCGGGGCAUUACCCCUCGUUUUGGACCCAAGGCUUGCCUGCAGGCCGAUCCGGGCGAAAGACAUUGUCAGGUUAGGAGUUUGGCUGGGGCGGCACAUCUAUUAAAAGAUAACGCAGGUGUACUAAGAUGAGCUCAACGAGAACAGAAAUCUCGUAUGGAACAGAAAGGUAAAAGCUCAUUUUAUUCUGAUUUCCAGUACGUAUACGAACCGUGAAACAUGGCCUAACGAUCCUUUAGACCUUCGAAAUUCAAAGGUAGAGGUGUUAGAAAAGUUACCACAGGGAUAACUGGCUUCUGGCAGCCAAGCGUUCAUAGCAACGUUACUUUUUAAUCCUUAGAUGUCGGCUCGUCCUAUCAUUGUAAAGCGGAAUUCACCAAGUGUUAGAUUGUUCACCCACCAAUAGGGAACGUGAGCUGGGUUUAGACCGUCGUGAGAUAGGUUAGUUUUACCCUACUAAUGAUAGUGUCGCAAUAGUAAUUCAACCUAGUACGAGAGGAACCAUUGAUUUGCACAAUUGGUCAUCGCGCUUGGUUGAAAAGCUAGUGAUGCAAAGCUACCGUGCGUUGGAUUAUGACUGAAUGCCUCUAAGUCAGAAUCUGGGCUAGAAGCAAUGCAUGCGCCUCUCGUCCACUUUCCGACCCGUAGUAGGGGAUUUUGGCCCUCAAGGGCACAUGUCGUUGGCUAAGUCAUCGCGUCGGAAGAGCCAUAGUAGCCGCCUUGAAGUACAAUUUCCAUCGAGCGGCGAGUAGAAUCCUUUGUAGACGACUUAAAUAUGCAAUGGGGCAUUGUAAGUGGCAGAGUGCCUUGCUGCCACGAUCCACUGAGAUUCAGCCCUUUCUCACUCCGAUUC
rnacentral:ncRNA from 1 species